GUGGGGAAUUUUGGACAAUGGGGGCAACCCUGAUCCAGCCAUUCCGCGUGAGUGAAGAAGGCCUUCGGGUUGUAAAGCUCUUUCGGCAGGAACGAAACGGUGAGCUCUAACAUAGCUCGCUAAUGACGGUACCUGAAGAAGAAGCACCGGCUAACUACGUGCCAGCAGCCGCGGUAAUACGUAGGGUGCGAGCGUUAAUCGGAAUUACUGGGCGUAAAGCGUGCGCAGGCGGUUUUGUAAGAUCGAUGUGAAAUCCCCGGGCUCAACCUGGGAACUGCAUUGGUGACUGCAAGGCUGGAGUGCGGCAGAGGGGGAUGGAAUUCCGCGUGUAGCAGUGAAAUGCGUAGAUAUGCGGAGGAACACCGAUGGCGAAGGCAAUCCCCUGGGCCUGCACUGACGCUCAUGCACGAAAGCGUGGGGAGCAAACAGGAUUAGAAACCCCAGUAGUCC
rnacentral:rRNA from 1 species